CGGCGUGCUUAACACAUGCAAGUCGAACGAACCUUCGGGUUAGUGGCGGACGGGUGAGUAACGCGUGAGAAUCUGCCCUCAGGAGGGGGACAACAGCUGGAAACGGCUGCUAAUACCCCAUAUGCCGCGAGGUGAAAUGAAUUUCGCCUGAGGAUGAGCUCGCGUCUGAUUAGCUAGUUGGUGUAGGUAAUGGCUCACCAAGGCAUCGAUCAGUAGCUGGUCUGAGAGGAUGAUCAGCCACACUGGGACUGAGACACGGCCCAGACUCCUACGGGAGGCAGCAGUGGGGAAUUUUCCGCAAUGGGCGAAAGCCUGACGGAGCAACGCCGCGUGAGGGAUGAAGGCCUCUGGGCUGUAAACCUCUUUUAUCAAGGAAGAAGAUCUGACGGUACUUGAUGAAU
rnacentral:rRNA from 1 species